rnacentral:tRNA from 1 species
GUCCUCGUAGCUUACAACAAAGCGUGACACUGAAGAUGUCAAGACGGAUGCCUCAUAAGCCCCCAAGGACA